UUUAGACUUUUAGAUUAAUAGUGUUUUCACACCUGGAUUGAUUGGAGCCAUUGUUCCGAAACAAGUCUUUGGCUCGGUUCGAUUGGACAUAUGUGAAAGCAGUAAUCGCGCUCCCUUCCGGAACAAAACAACUGAGCUGAGACUGCUUGGAGGAGGUGGUCUC